rnacentral:rRNA from 1 species
AACGAACGCUGGCGGCGUGCCUAACACAUGCAAGUCGUGCGAGAAAGUUCCUUCGGGAGCGAGUAAAGCGGCGCACGGGUGAGUAACACGUAGGUAACCUGCCCCCCAGUCUGGAACAACUAGAGGAAACUCUAGCUAAUGCCGGAUGAGACCACGAUCCCUUCGGGGGUUGCGGCCCAAAAGAUGGCCUACUACUUGUAAGCUAUCGCUGAGGGAUGGGCCUGCGGGCCAUUAGCUUGGUUGGUGAGGUAACGGCUCACCAAGGCUGUGAUGGCUAGCUGGUCUGAGAGGAUGACCAGCCACACUGGGACUGAGACACGGCCAGA